rnacentral:misc_RNA from 1 species
UACGUAGGUGGCGAGCGUUAUCCGGAAUUACUGGGCGUAAAGCGCACGCAGGCGGUCUUUUAAGUUUGACGUGAAAGCUCUCGGCUUAACUGGGAGAGGUCGUUGAAAACUGGAAGGCUUGAGGCAAUGAGAGGGGUGUAGAAUUCCCGGUGUAGUGGUGGAAUGCGUAGAUAUCGGGGGGAAUACCAGUGGCGAAAGCGGCACCCUAGCGUUGUUCUGACGCUCAUGUGCGAAAGCGUGGGGAGCGAACGGG